AGGGCAUUAUUCUUAAUAGGGAAAGAGUAGUGAUACGGCCACUGAAUUAUAAGUUCGAGUCUUAUAUGUCCUUC
rnacentral:tRNA from 1 species